GCGAGAUGUUUGUAUGGACGAGAACGCGGCCUCGCUCAGGUGUGGGCCUGGGGAAGGAGGCGCUCAGGGGCCCGGAUAGAGAAUGGAAGGGCUCCAGGGUGCAGACCAUGGCUGGGGAGCGGCUAACGGCCAGAGAGGUCGGAGAGAGAACCGGGCUCUAGCUGUUUGGUGCGUAGGUGAUGGUGAAACAAGGGGAGCUCAGCAGACAGAGGGAGCACCCGGGGCAGGGCAGGAGGCAGAACCGGAACGGCAUAAACGGCGUUGCAGAAGCCAAGGCGCGGCGCUGGGGUCUGGAAAGAAGAGAGAGAAAGACUUGUACGCCUAAACGUAGGCUAGAACUGCGAGGGAGACGGCAGAGGACAGGUGACUUGAUGGAACCCAGACUGCUGGAACAUCACCAUGGGCAAGCUGGUCAGAUGAUUUCCUCCACAGACACAAGGUGUUUGGUCCAUGACUAGUACUCUGUACUUGAAUGAUUUUUUUUUUUACUUUUUUUGCUUAUAUUUUCCUAUAUUCCUUUAUUAUUUUUACUUAUUCUGCUUUUGUGUGCAUUGCAAUAAAUGAUAGACU
rnacentral:lncRNA from 1 species